GAUGAACGCUAGCGACAGGCCUAACACAUGCAAGUCGAGGGGCAGCACAAGGUAGCAAUACUGAGGUGGCGACCGGCGCACGGGUGAGUAACGCGUAUGCAACCUGCCUGUAACAGGGGAAUAGCCUCUUGAAAGAGAGAUUAAUGCCGCAUAAUACGAGAUUCGGGCAUCCGGAUUUAGUUAAACAUUUAUGGGUUACAGAUGGGCAUGCGUUUCAUUAGGUAGUUGGUGAGGUAACGGCUCACCAAGCCGACGAUGAAUAGGGGUUCUGAGAGGAAGGUCCCCCACACUGGUACUGAGACACGGACCAGACUCCUACGGGAGGCAGCAGUGAGGAAUAUUGGUCAAUGGACGCAAGUCUGAACCAGCCAAGUCGCGUGAAGGAUGAAGGUAUUAUGUAUUGUAAACUUCUUUUGUCAGGGAAUAAUGGGUGUCACGUGUGACGCAGAGGAAUGUACCUGACGAAUAAGCAUCGGCUAACUCCGUGCCAGCAGCCGCGGUAAUACGGAGGAUGCGAGCGUUAUCCGGAUUUAUUGGGUUUAAAGGGUGCGUAGGCGGUUUGUUAAGUCAGUGGUGAAANUUUGCGGCUCAACCGUAAAAUUG
rnacentral:rRNA from 1 species